CUAAAACCCCAGCUUCCCCAUUUGGCCAUUUCCUCCACUGAUCUCCUCUCUCUUUCUCUCAAAGCUCUGUGAUGGCAUCAUCUGCAGAGACCCCAUAUCUGCUUUGAACCUAAAACCCUUCUAAGAGCCCUCAAUUUCUAAAUGUCUCUCUUCAAAACUCUCCUCCUCUCUAACCAUACAAAAGUUCUUCUCAAAACCCAAAACCCUCUUUACAAAAGCCUCCCUCCUUCACCAACCUUCAUAAUCAGAACCCUUAAUUCCUCUCCCCAUAAACCAACCAAGAAGCCGCUUUCUCUAUUGUUUCAAGAUGCAGUUGGUUUAACUGAAAAUACUGGUGGAAAUGAAAGCCAGAGCGAAAGUGAAGGCGAGAAUAUUGAGCUAAUAAGGGAAUUAAGGCAAUUGGAGAGAGAAGUUACGAAGUUGAAAGAAAACCCAAAAGGGAAAAAUAAAGAAAAAGAGGGAGUAGAGAGGGGAAAACCCAAUAAAGUUAAGAGUUUGGUUGAGUUGUUUGGGGGUGAAAAGGAAGAAGAGGUGGAAAAGAUUGUGAAAGUGAGGAAAGAAAGGGAAGAGGUAGUUUUCAAGGAUUUUUCGCAGUUAGCUGAGAAUUUCGUUAGGCAUUUGUAUGCCAAAGGGUAUUUUAACAAAGCUAAUUUUUUGGAAGAUAACAAGUUAGAUUUUGGUUAUUUUGAUAAUAGUUAUGGCAGGGAUUUCAUCAAAUAUGCUGCUUUCAAGUUUGGUAAAGAUCAUCAAGAGAUUGCAAAGUGGUUGUCUGGCAAUCACUUGAAAAAGGUGGUGCUCUUUGGUUGCCCUUCCCUUGAUAAAAAUAAUGUCUUUGCUGCCAAGAGAUUGCGCAAGUUCUUUAAAAUUGAAGAAAACAUCGUAUGCAGUCAAUGCAUGUUAAAGGAUUCAUGCAAGUAUGUUAAUAAAAGUGUAUGGAGAGCUGGUACCAAGAAUUUGCUUCUGGUUGAUGUAAUGAAGGUUAUUGCUUUGUAUGCUUUAGACCAAGUGCCUCCAAAGCUCACAGUUCCGGAUGAAGUAAAGGAUUCGGUCAGCCGAUUGCUGAAGGAGGUUAUAAAGCUAAGUCAACCUACAUAACAAGGCUUCUAAAAAUGUUCCUACAGGUACUUAACAGUGAAUUCAGCUGUAACAGCUUCACAAUUAUCAUGUUGACAGUUCCCAUUUGAUUUGUUUGCUUCAUCAUAGUACAGAUUAUUGAUACGAUCACAAGAAACAUGGAUAAAGUUUUUACUGGUAAUGAUCUUAUUGGCAGACCAGCACAUGUCUAGAGAAGGGUUUUUGAAGUAAAAUAUGGAUGGCUGGUGUCCCAGGAAUGUAAUUUAUAUUCAUGAAUGAUGCAAUUCCUUUGUUGACUGCUUGCAAAGCUCUAGAUUAUACAGGACUACCCACCUAUAAGAUUUUGAAUCAGAUUUGCAUUGCUGAUGCAUACAUGCAAUUCAACUGGGGAUAUGUUAUCUGGAAAUCGAAACGUAGAAGUUCCAGCAUAGGAAAAUUCAAAUAGUGAAGCAAUUGGACACUUGGUCCAUCCAAGUAACAAGCUAGAAGAAUAGAUUUUCUCAUUGACUAAACUUUUCUUUAUGGGUUAUGUGUUUCUGGCAUUCACGCAUAGGAUUUGGGGUAGUGGAGUUGUUCAACAGUUUCUUCUUUAAUGUCUGGCAAGUCAAACUUUGGGAUUGUAGACAUGCAGCCAGCCAUGAAAGCUCUUUGGAAGUUUAAGUUAAAACUUUGAGGACAUGCUUGGUUGGAAGGAAUGAAAUAAUCAUUCUUUUUUUA